GGAAGGAGAAGUCGUAACAAGGUCUCCGUAGGUGAACCUGCGGAGGGAUCAUUAAGAAUUGAAGGCACUGUUGCCCAUUCUAACCCUUUGUGAACUAACUCUGUUGCUUCGGGGGCGACCCCGCCGUUUCGGCGGUGGCGCUCCCGGUAGCCAAUCAUAACUCUGCAUCUCUUGCGUCGGAGUCUUAAAGAAAUUUAAAUAAAACUUUCAACAACGGAUCUCUUGGUUCUGGCAUCGAUGAAGAACGCAGCGAAAUGCGAUAAGUAAUGUGAAUUGCAGAAUUCAGUGAAUCAUCGAAUCUUUGAACGCACAUUGCGCCCUCCUGUUCGAGCGUCAUUUCACCACUCAAGCCUGGCUUGGUAUUGGGCGUCGCGGGUCCCCCGCGCGCCUCGAAGUCCCCGGCUGAGCGGCUCGUCUCUAAGCGUUGUGGCACCUUGUCUCGCGGUGAGUUCGGGCGGCGUCUCGCUCCGGGCUGAUGGGCCGUGCCGGCCGUUAAGCCUCUCACACAGGUUGACCUCGGAUCAGGUAGGGAUACCCGCUGAACUUAAGCAUAUCAAUAAGCGGAGGA
rnacentral:rRNA from 1 species